rnacentral:rRNA from 1 species
UACGUAGGGAGCAAGCGUUGUCCGGAAUCAUUGGGCGUAAAGCGCGCGUAGGUGGCCUCGUAAGUCCGCUGUGAAAGUCAAAGGCUCAACCUUUGGAAGCCGGUGGAUACUGUGGGGCUAGAGUACGGAAGAGGCGAGUGGAAUUCCUGGUGUAGCGGUGGAAUGCGCAGAUAUCAGGAGGAACACCAAUAGCGAAGGCAGCUCGCUGGGACGUUACUGACACUGAGGCGCGAAAGCGUGGGGAGCGAACAGG